GACGAACGCUGGCGGCGUGCUUAACACAUGCAAGUCGAACGGAAGGGCCCUGCUUUUGUGGGGUGCUCGAGUGGCGAACGGGUGAGUAACACGUGAGUAACCUGCCCUUGACUUUGGGAUAACUUCAGGAAACUGGGGCUAAUACCGGAUAGGAGCUCCUGCUGCAUGGUGGGGGUUGGAAAGUUUCGGUGGUUGGGGAUGGACUCGCGGCUUAUCAGCUUGUUGGUGGGGUAGUGGCUUACCAAGGCUUUGACGGGUAGCCGGCCUGAGAGGGUGACCGGCCACAUUGGGACUGAGAUACGGCCCAGACUCCUACGGGAGGCAGAAGUGGGGAAUAUUGCACAAUGGGCGGAAGCCUGAUGCAGCAACGCCGCGUGCGGGAUGACGGCCUUCGGGUUGUAAACCGCUUUCGCCUGUGACGAAGCGUGAGUGACGGUAAUGGGUAAAGAAGCACCGGCUAACUACGUG
rnacentral:rRNA from 1 species